rnacentral:rRNA from 1 species
AUUGAACGCUGGCGGCAGGCUUAACACAUGCAAGUCGAGCGAGCGGCGGACGGGUGAGUAAGGUCUGGGCAACUGCCUGAUGGACGGGGAUGACGACUGGAAACGGUAGCUAAUACCGCAUAACAUCAUUUGUGCCCUGAUGGGAUUAGCUAGGAGGUGGGGGAAUGGCUCUCCUAGGCGACGAUCCCGAGCUGGUCUGAGAGGAUGACCAGCCACACUGUAACUGAGACACGGUCCAGACUCCGACGGGAGGCAGCAGUGGGGAAUAUUGCACAAUGGGCGCAAGCCUGAUGCAGCCAUGCCGCGUGUGUGAAGAAGGCCUUCGGGUUGUAAAGCACUUUCGGCGAGGAGGCGUUACUCGAAGAAGAAGCACCGGCUAACUCCGUGCCAGCAGCCGCGGUAAUUC